rnacentral:rRNA from 1 species
ACCGCCCAAGAGUUCAUAUCGACGGCGGUGUUUGGCACCUCGAUGUCGGCUCAUCACAUCCUGGGGCUGAAGUAGGUCCCAAGGGUAUGGCUGUUCGCCAUUUAAAGUGGUACGCGAGCUGGGUUUAGAACGUCGUGAGACAGUUCGGUCCCUAUCUGCCGUGGGCGUUGGAAGAUUGAGAGGGGCUGCUCCUAGUACGAGAGGACCGGAGUGGACGCAUCACUGGUGUUCGGGUUGUCAUGCCAAUGGCAUUGCCCGGUAGCUAAAUGCGGAAAAGAUAAGCGCUGAAAGCAUCUAAGCGCGAAACUUGCCUCGAGAUGAGUCUUCCCUGGGGCUUUAAGCCCCCUGAAGGAACGUUAAAGACUAUGACGUUGAUAGGCUGGGUGUGUAAGUGCAGCGAUGCAUUGAGCUAACCAGUACUAAUGAUCCGUGAGGCUUAACCUUACAACACCGAAGGUGUUU